AAUGUCUGAUCUUGUUUAACCAAUUUUAAAGUAUCUCUCUAGGAGUGGUUGUUGAAUCAAUAAUUUUCUUAUGUGAAUAUCCCAUUUUUUUUCUGAGUUUUGUGUGCAAGUUCAGCAUUGGGAGUGGUGAUUUUUUGGUGUCUUCAUGGGCAAAGAAUUUGUGUGUUGAUUGUUUUGUGCACAUGCAGUUAGUUACCCGUCCUGACGUGACCACUCCAUCCCAUUAUCCCCAUGUCAUUUGGGAUCUCCACGUUUCCUACCUCUGUAAUUGUUACCAGGCUCAGCUGCUGCUGCUCCAGCCCACUCUGCCCAGAGUGGAGGACAUGGAUUCACAGGAGCUUUAGCACUCCUGCAGUGUCUGUGCAGCAGGAAUUUCCCUCUGUGAAAUUCAUCACCAAUGACUCGUUUCCACGGAAAGUUGCACUUCCAAGGGCCAGCCCUGAAUGUACCAAGAUACUGAAAUCACUUUGUGUGGCAAAUGACUUCUGUCCAAGUGAGAGCUCCUGGUGAAAGAAGAAAGCAAGAGAAGCACCGAGGCUUCCUGAACUGUGUUGUUUGUGUGGGCUCGUUUGUUCCCCACCCACAAGAAGGAGGCAAGAAAACACAGGCUCCAGCUCUUACACAGUCUGGCUUUUCCAAGAGUUUGGAGAUUUUGAUGGGACAAACUUCCCACUCAGCUGACAGCCCCUUACCUGCAGGCCAAGCCCUUGAGUGGCAGGAGGAGGAGCUGGCAAGUGACUGCACAUCCCAGCACUGCCCAGAGUGGAUGCUCCUUAAAUAAUCCUUCUGUGGAUUAUUUGAUGGGAUAAAGGCACUGCCAGUGUCCACCAGGCAGGUGCUGACAACUGCCCUGAUUUGUUUUCCAAGGUACACAAGCCCCAGAGUGAGGACUUUGGGAAGCCUCUGAGGGGUUUAGCAACAUGAGCUGAUUUUCAGCAAGAUUUGUGGUCCUCUAAAGAGCACCUGUAAAGAUAACCAGAGAUGACAAAGUGAGUGAGUGCAAAUAUUCUUUCCAGUCCUGGACAGCUGUUCCAGUUGUGCAUCUGUGCCUUUGUUCAUGAAUGUCUGUGGAAUUCCCACCCAAACCCCGAGCCCGUGGUACUGUGAGGCUGCUUCCUAUGUUGGCCAGGCAAGAAUUAGUAAUUAAUAAUGAAUAGUGAGCAGUUCAUUAACAUCCCAUAAGGUGCAAUAGGUCAAAUAGCUGAUAAACUUGUGAAUGAAAUAGGAUUUCUUUUCUUACUGUUUCUAAGGUGGGUUAAAAAAAUAAGAAGAGAAAUGAAACAUUAAAAUACUUCACUUUUCUC